UCUGGGCCUUGCUCACACGCCUCUUGGCAUGUCUGUGUCUAGGGGUUACAGAUCUCCAGUCCAGGCACCUCCGCGACGGCGCUCCGGGUUGUGUGUCUCUCCUUGUCUAAGGGCAGAGGAGAUCUCUCCCUCUCCCUCCCUUCCUCCCCCCUCUGUCUCUCUAUCCCCCACCCCUCCAAAGGCUCUUGCGAGACGGAGGAGGGCUUUGCCUGCGCCCCAGGCUUCUGCCGGCAGUCAGAAGGCUCCCCGCAGAGGCACAAGCCAUGUUGAUUUUACGGAGAAGGCUGCUAUGCACAUUUCACUGCUGAUUUAUUGGUUUUUAACUAGAUCCUUAUGCUGGGCUAAAAAAGCCAUCUUGCACUUUGUAAGGCUCUGCUGACUGCUGCUGAAAAUGACACAGGGGCUUCUCCUUCCCUCCCCCACCCCAGCCCGUCGAAAGGGCCAUGGUGGAGGUGAAAGCCUAGGAUGGGAGCUAGGGCCCCUCUUCUGAGCCGGGAGCCUUCUGCUGCAGCCUCCCAGCCGCUGACUACCUGCGGUGUGCAAUGGGCUUAUGGAUCAGAUGUGAAUUAUCGGCUACUUCUCCAGUGCUACGCCUGCCUGCCUGAUGCUAUGCUCCCUGCCGUGAUGUUCACGGACUAACUCUCUGAACUGUGCUUAUCAUGUGAGAACACACCACACCCAAGCAACUCUUUGCAAACGCUGUCCCUCUGCAGCCCUUUCUCCUGCUCCUGUUUGGAUGAUGGAGUGAAAGACCACGUCCUUCAAGAAACGCUCCAGAAUCUUAUCGCAGCUGAAGAAGAGAGCCUGCUGCACGGCAUUGUCCUGAAGACUCAGAGUGCCUACACCAAGUGCCUAACUUGGUGUAGAGAUUAUGGCCCCUGAAGAUGUGAGCUCAGAAUUUCCUGCUUCUGCUGCCAUGCCUCCCGCUGGCUGCUGUGCCUUCCUGCCCUCAUCAAUGCCCAUCCCUCUGGAAUUGUAAGGAAAAU